GUAGUUCCUGCUGGAGUCUCCUGUGGUUGUGGUUGGGUCGUCUAAAUUACUACAAAGAGCAAAAAAGCUCUGACAUAAAAAUGGUCUCUUAUUUUCUUAAUCUUUGUGUUUCUCAGGUGCACUGUUGUGAAGAGACCUCAGCAUACGUGUCCAGAGCAGUUAGUAAACAUUUAGUGAAAAUCCAUAAAGAAUUUGUAAAUGCUCUCUCUAUAAAUCCCUACCUGGACUCUUUCAUUUUUUCCCCCAGUUUCCAGUAAGAGUACAAAGUUAUGAUUUUUACACGAAGAUUUGUUUUCAUCCCCUAUUACUGUACCUUAUGACAUCCUGGCAAAUAAUAACAAUAAGAAAUGGGAACGAUAACAGUAAUUCUACUUUUGAAACACCUUUUGUCUGUAAACAUAUAUACACUUUCUGUAAGUGUCAAGGGAUAUAUUUAAUCAUGAUACUAAUCCCCGAGAACUUUGUGUUUUGUCUCAAAAUUCAAAUAGACACAGGGCCCUUUGUUUGGACUUAGUUGGUUGCACAACGCUUCCAAAGUUAGCGUGUACUGUGAAGUCAACUGGGAUUUUCAAGACAUUUUUAUGUACACUAAAUAUGUCUUAACAUGAUCUUAAUGAAAGAUGUAAUAAUUGACUGGCAGAUGGAAGAGGCAGCAAGAAAAUUGUAGUUUAGUAAAAUAAAGUUUCACAUUACUAUAUCAAUAUUAGGUUUUACACUAAAAGGAAAGCUAAAUUUAGGAGCUUUAUUACAUACUAGCAUUGACAUGAGUCAUUUCCUCUCCAUUAAAGCAACCAAAACCCCAACUUCCUAUCUUA
rnacentral:lncRNA from 1 species